rnacentral:lncRNA from 1 species
CUCUAAUGAAGUACUAAAAACAUUGAUUGUCUGAAAAUACUAAAGACUGUAAGGUAAUGAUAAUGCCCGAAAGAACUGGGUAUCACCAAGUAGCUGGUACGAGAAUCCUAGCACUCUGAAUCAUCAACAUGUAAAUCAUUGCCUGUAUAGUGAGAUGCAGGCCCAGGCAAAAGGGACGUCAGUACAUCUGAAUUGUACUGGUAUGUAAAGCAACUGAAAGAAAGAAUUAUAAAUGUUGAAACUCAAACCAAGGUGAUAAUUGAGAAUUUAUAAUUGAUAACUGAAAUGAUAACUAUUGAAACUGAAACUGAAAUAAUAACUAAUAAUUGAUAACCGAUAACUGAAAUGACAACUGAUAACUGAAAUGAUAACUGAUAACUGAACAGAACAAAGAAAGUAAGGAUAUGAAUACUCCCUCUUCUGAAUGAUGAACAACCUGUUUAUCUGUAUAAGCUACGGCCUUGGGCCCAACAUAUAUGUGCACAAGCUACGGCCUCAGGCCCAAGUAUACGUAUACAUAACUAUGGGCUCAGGCCAAAAAAUGCAUAAAGCAUAAACUACGACCUCAGGCCCAAAUAUUCAUAAAGCAUAAACUACGGCCUCAGGCCCAUGUAUGCAUAAAGAAUAUAAACUACAGCCUCAGGCCCAAAUAUAGGUGUUCAACAUUCAGGAACUAAGAAUUAAACUGUAAUACAUUAUAGUGAAAUACUGAAUGACACUAAGUUACAUGAUACUGGAAUAUUGAAUCACACUAAGUUACAUAAUACUGGAGUACUGAAUAGGACUAGACUGAAAUAUAUAUUCUUGAACUGAUAAUGAACAUUGAAACUUCAACUGUUUAUGGCAUACUGAGUAAUUUAUACUAAGACUCGGGGGCAUCAAACCCAAGUCUAUAUUGAAUACACACUGAGCUUACAACAUUCAGAAUGAAAGUGGUGAACGAGUUAUGAAAAUAGAGAAUAGAAUUUCUACAACUAUUCAAGGAAGUAGGCUUACCUAUAUUUUUGAGGUAAUUGGUAACGUCAUAAAAGAAACGUGUGCAGGGAGAAUCAUAAAAAUUCGCAAACAUAGAGAGUUAGCAUUACAUACCUUAACUUCCUGCUCUUGAGCAUAAUACAACAUCC